AACAUUAUGUACAUAAUAUAUGUGUGUAACGUGUUGAUAGUUUUUCAAAUCGUUAACUAUAUACUUUGAUUUUAACUAAAAUGCAAGUAGCCAUUGAGCUACAAAGAAAGUGUAGUUUUAAAUUGUUAACAACUUAAAACUAUGUAAUAUGAGUUUCGAUAACAACGUAAUUACAGACCAUAUCCUGAAAUUAAUGGUCGUACUUUACAAUUUCCUUUAGCUUGAAAUCCUGUAACCUGAGAUAGCUGUAACACGGGGGAUGCCUGUAAUUUGAACCAGAGUAAUGUGAAGCUUGAAAAAACAAAAAAAACAAAACCCACUAUGGGAAGCACUGAUGACUUCCAAUGGUAGACAAAGUGUUAAAUGUUUUAAGCAGGUGUAUUUUGCCUGCCAAUCACAACAUACUAGAUAGCAAAUUGUGUGGUUUGGCAGAGGUCUGCAUUUGCUUAGAAACAAGAACAAUUGGAAAUAAUAGAAUGAAAGACUGAAUGGGAAAAAGUGCCAUUUCAGCCAUUGCAAUGAUCGAUUUAAAAAAA